rnacentral:rRNA from 1 species
CCGGCGACCGGCGCACGGGUGAGUAACGCGUAUGCAACCUGCCCGUUUCAGCGGGAUAACCCGGAGAAAUCCGGCCUAAUACCGCAUGUGGCCGAGGGAGGCAUCUUCUUUCGGCCAAAGGAGGCAACUCCGGAGACGGAUGGGCAUGCGUGACAUUAGCUUGUUGGCGGGGUAACGGCCCACCAAGGCGACGAUGUCUAGGGGUUCUGAGAGGAAGGUCCCCCACACUGGUACUGAGACACGGACCAGACUCCUACGGGAGGCAGCAG